rfam:Macrostomum lignano uti_cns_0006838, whole genome shotgun sequence.
AAAACGGCCCUUUUAAGGGCCACAGCCAUAGUUAGCCGCUACGCC